GGGCCCGCACAAGCGGUGGAGCAUGUGGUUUAAUUCGAUGAUACGCGAGGAACCUUACCUAGGCUUAAAUGUAGAUUGACGUACUGGGAAACUAGUAUUUCUUCGGACAAUCUACAAGGUGCUGCAUGGUUGUCGUCAGCUCGUGCCGUGAGGUGUCGGGUUAAGUCCCAUAACGAGCGCAACCCACGUCUUUAGUUGCCAGCAUUUAGUUGGGCACUCUAGAGAGACUGCCGGUGAUAAACCGGAGGAAGGUGUGGAUGACGUCAAGUCAUCAUGCCCCUUACAUCCUGGGCUACACACGUACUACAAUGCUACGGACAAAGGGCAGCAAGUUCGCGAGGACAAGCAAAUCCCAUAAACCGUGGCUCAGUUCAGAUCGUAGGCUGCAACUCGCCUACGUGAAGGCGGAAUCGCUAGUAAUCG
rnacentral:rRNA from 1 species